CAUCUUGCGCGGCUGAGGCCUGUGGGCGCGUCCUCCGUGGGGAUCGAUGUUGUCACACUUCACUUGGAAAUACCCUUAGCCGUCGCCUUUGUAAACAAGACAUCCCGUCACUCGAGCCUGGAGCGCCCCUCGGUCCCGCCGGGCCUCAAGAUCGGGCCUCUUGCCGCGGGUCGUCCGUGCGCGCCCACUCGAGGCCCGCGGGCGCCGUGGAGAGCGGCCGAGACUGAGUCACAGAAUUGUUGGGGACUAGCCCGCUUGGCCACCUCACACAAGAACCACUGCAGAGAAACUUCUGUCCCUGUGGAAUUCCUGGGCUCGUUCAAUGUGGAGGACGCUCCUGCCACCAUGAGCAGAUGAUGUGGCUGUUUCAGCCUGGGGGUUACCAUCUCCUUUGCUCCACUUGAUCAGAGAUAUCAGACAUUUGCCCAAACCAAGGAGCAUUUUGGAGCAUCAGGAGAGGCCACAUGAAACAUGGGUGGCCGGGCCAAGCCACACUGCUGCUCCUCUCCCUGCUGGGGGCCCAGUCCCUAAAGGCUCCACACCAGAUAUGAGGGUGCUGUGUGUCCCCCAAUCCCUGCCCUGCAGCAUUUGUUGGUAUUAAAGUAACAUUAUAAUGGA